GACGGCGGUGUUUGGCACCUCGAUGUCGGCUCAUCACAUCCUGGGGCUGAAGUAGGUCCCAAGGGUAUGGCUGUUCGCCAUUUAAAGUGGUACGCGAGCUGGGUUUAGAACGUCGUGAGACAGUUCGGUCCCUAUCUGCCGUGGGCGCUGGAGAAUUGAGGGGGGCUGCUCCUAGUACGAGAGGACCGGAGUGGACGCAUCACUGGUGUUCGGGUUGUCAUGCCAAUGGCACUGCCCGGUAGCUAAAUGCGGAAGAGAUAAGUGCUGAAAGCAUCUAAGCACGAAACUUGCCCCGAGAUGAGUUCUCCCUGAGACUUUAAGUCUCCUGAAGGAACGUUAAAGACGAUGACGUUGAUAGGCCGGGUGUGUAAGCGCAGCGAUGCGUUGAGCUAACCGGUACUAAUGAACCGUGAGGCUUAACCUU
rnacentral:rRNA from 1 species